rnacentral:lncRNA from 1 species
AUUUAAGGUUAAAAUCCUUCUCCCCAUAUUAAUAAUUUAUGUAACCACUCUGAUGAUUACCUGAAAAAUGUAUGUGUGUGCAUGUGCAUGCACAAAUUCAUAUUUUAUCUUAUGUAAAAAAUACUUUCCCCAAAUCUCACCAAAGUAUCAUAGCCAAACAGCAGCUAAUCCCUUAUACAUCUCAGGGACUUUUUUUCUCUAAGAGUUCACUGUUAGGAGUCAUAUCAAAUUGAAAUAUGUUCGUAAGACAUUUACAUAAUAUCCUUAAGAUUCUUUCUUCUGACACCUCCUACCCUCCUCCUGUCCUCCUUCUUCAUCUUCCAUCAGGUCAGUUAGAAGAUUAUUUUGAUUUUGGUCCUUGUUAUGAUGAAAUGAUAAGUGUGUCAAAUUUUUCACUGUGUAAACUAGCAAUAUGAACACACAUGCCAAUGUAUCCUAACAGAUCUACUUGGUUACAUCUCAGGGUUACUCUACUUAAUCUUGAUUCAUGUAUGGAGAAAUGGCUGGAUAACAUAAUGCCUGCUUGUUAUAUAAGAAAGUUAUGUCCAUUACUCUGAGCUCCUUACUUUAAAGUUUUUCCUCCUGGCUUCUCUGUAUUCUCUUUUUAUCCUGAAAUGCAUUUUUUUAGGUUGUGAGGUAUGUUUAAGGAGUGGAAGCCAGUGGUAUAUUCUUGGCAUUUGCUACUUCCAAAAGUCAACAGCAUCUCAAUUAACGAGCAUCUCUGGUCUUUCGUGAAAUUUGAACUAAAUCUAUGAGCCUUAUUCAAUAUCUACAAUUCUAUGAUAUUUUUUAAUUAUGGGAAAUUGAUGGAAGAUGUUUACAUGAAGUUUUGGAGUGUGUCUGGGUACAUGGGCAAAGAGUAGGAAAACUGUUUCUGAAACAAACCUUGACAUAUUUGUAAUGAAAAGUAAAUUUAAAGAUUGCUAUGAUUGUGAUAUAGAAACAAUGCAAGUAUUAAACAAAAUACACAACCAAAAAAAG